rnacentral:misc_RNA from 1 species
AUGAUCUCACAUAGACAUAUAAAAAGGAGUUGGAAAGCUUUUUUCUCUUCCGGUAUGGGCACCAUUUUGGUUGCAAACUGGUGCAUAAUUUCUCUUGUAGUACAAAAUAAUUCCUUCUACAUGUGAAGUGGUUUAGUGCUUAGAGUACUUCUGGAGAACCUCGAAGUAGUCGGGGAAGGUUUUGCGAGUACAGCCAGGGUCCUUAAUAGUGACUGGAACAUCAGCACAAGCAGCAAGAGAGAAAGCCAUAGCCAUUCUGUGGUCAUCAUAUGUAUCAAUCUCCGUUACGUUUAACUUUUCUGGUGGGGUGAUUAUGCAGUAGUCUGACCCUUCAACAACUGUUGCACCCAACUUCCUAAGUUCGGUGCAUAUGGCAAUCAUCCGCUCAGUUUCCUUUACUCUCCAGCUAGCAACGUCUCUUAUGGUAGUAGGACCAUCAGCAAAAAGUGCAACUACGGCAAGAGUCAUGGCCACAUCUGGCAUUUUGUUCAUGUUCACGUCAAUGGCACGCAAAUGUUUCAUUCCAGAAGAGUUCCUCGGAGGUCCUUUAACUGUGACACUGUUCUCUGUCCAUGUAACUUCUGCCCCCAUCUUCUCGAGGACCUCAGCGAACUUAACAUCUCCCUGUAAACUGCUUGUUCCACAACCUUCAACAGUGACGGUUCCACCUGUGACUGCUGCCCCCGCCAAAAAAUAGCUAGCACUUGAGGCAUCUCCUUCAACAAAUGCUUUCCCAGGAGAUUUGUACUUCUGACCUCCUUUUACCAAGAAUCUGUCCCAGCCACUACUGUGCUCCACAAAGACACCAAAUCGCUCCAUCAACUUCAGUGUCAUUUCAACAUAAGGCACAGAUAUCAGUUUGUCAAUUAUUUCAAUCUCCACAUCUCCUAGAGCCAGGGGAGCAGCCAUAAGCAGAGCAGUCAGGUAUUGGCUGCUGAUGGAUCCAGAGAGCUUUACCUUCCCUCCUGGAAGACCUCCCUUGCUGACAAUUCGAACAGGAGGACAUUUCGUACCAAGGAAACAAUCAACCUCUGCACCAAGCUGCUUAAGACCAUCAACCAAAUCACUAAUUGGUCUCUCUCUCAUUCGAGGAACUCCAUCAAGUACAUACCUUGAAUUUCCGCCAGCUACAGCAACUGCUGCUGUUAGUGGCCGCAUUGCAGUUCCUGCAUUUCCAAGGAAAAGUUGAAUCUCUUCCUUGGACUCUUUAGCGGCAGGGAACAAACCACCACAACCUUCAACAACAGCUCGUUGGUUUCCACUGUCAUCUUCUACUUGCAGUCCAAGUGCUUUCAACGCACCAAGCAUGUAA